rnacentral:hammerhead_ribozyme from 1 species
AUCCAGCUGGCGAGUCCUAAAUAGGACGAAACGCUCGUGAAACUGGAU